CAAAUUGCUAGACAAUGACACCUCUACUGUCUGCAUUUCUGUGGGCAGACACAUUUGGAUACCCAUACAGGUAUUCCACAUCAUAACAUCGUAUAGUGCACUGGGAGUUAAAGUGUUAAUGCUCCAGUUCCGGGCAUCUGUCCGGAAGAGAAGAACUACAUCCCCUAGGGGGCUUUGUGGUUGGAGAGGAGAUAUAACCUCUGGCAAAGUCACCUGAUGUCCAUCUUCUUCCCUUGGCUCUCAUCCCGACCACAUGCAUCACCUCAGCACUACUGUAAGGCCUACAGCUC
rnacentral:lncRNA from 1 species